rnacentral:rRNA from 1 species
GCUUAACACAUGCAAGUCGAGGGGUAUAGUUCUUCGGAACUAGAGACCGGCGCACGGGUGCGUAACGCGUAUGCAAUCUACCUUAUACAGGGGAAUAGCCCAGAGAAAUUUGGAUCAAUGCCCCAUAGUAUUACGAAACGGCAUCGUUUUGUGAUUAAAGUUCCAACGGUAUAAGAUGAGCAUGCGUCCCAUUAGUUAGUUGGUAAGGUAACGGCUUACCAAGGCGAUGAUGGGUAGGGGUCCUGAGAGGGAGAUCCCCCACACUGGUACUGAGACACGGACCAGACUCCUACGGGAGGCAGCAGUGAGGAAUAUUGGUCAAUGGGCGCAAGCCUGAACCAGCCAUGCCGCGUGCAGGAAGAAUCAUCUAUGGUGUGUAAACUGCUUUUAUACAGGAAGAAGCCUCCCUACGAGUAGGGACUUGACGGUACUGUAGGAAUAAGGAUCGGCUAACUCCGUGCCAGCAGCCGCGGUAAUAC